GACGAACGAGGGGGGUGUGUUUAACACAUGCAAGUCGAACGCUGAAGCUCAGCUUUUGUUGGGUGGAUGAGUGGCGAACGGGUGAGUAACACGUGAGUAACCUGCCCCCUUCUUUGGGAUAACGCCCGGAAACGGGUGCUAAUACUGGAUAUUCACUGGUCUUCGCAUGGGGGUUGGUGGAAAGGGUUUUUCUGGUGGGGGAUGGGCUCGCGGCCUAUCAGCUUGUUGGUGGGGUGAUGGCCUACCAAGGCUUUGACGGGUAGCCGGCCUGAGAGGGUGACCGGUCACAGUGGGACGGAGAUACGGCCCAGACGCGUACGGGAGGCAGCAGUGGGGAAUAUGGCACAAUGGGCGCAAGCCUGAUGCAGCGACGCCGCGUGAGGGAUGGAGGCCUUCGGGUUGUGAACCUCUUUCGCUCAUGGUCAAGCCGAAACAAUGGUUGUGGUGAGGGUAGUGGGUAAAGAAGCGCCGGCUAACUACGUG
rnacentral:rRNA from 1 species